UAAAUGCAUUUCUGGACAAAAGUAGCCAUU
rnacentral:piRNA from 1 species